AUGGGAGCCGUGCCGCCUCUUGCCAUCCAUGCUCCAGGAGCGCUCCUCUUUGCGGCAGGGCUAACCCCCCCCCUGCUCCAGUGUAUACGUUGGGUGUCCCCGCGCCGCGCGCCCCCAGCACCCCCCGCCCUCCCCCGCCCACCUCCUUUCAGCCCCUCCUUCCCGGCUGCCAUAGAAACCUGCCUACAAGGUCCAGGCCCUCGUCCGGGUGCCCCUCCGGCCUCCCCUUCCCCGCCUCCCCCGGGCCAGCCCCCAGCUCCGGAUUGGUCCUUCGGGAAACGCUGCGGGGCGCCUGAGUCCCUUCUGCGGAGCCCCGGCCGGGCCGGUGGGCGGGGUCUGCCACUGCCGCCCCUGACAGCUCCCGAGCCUUCGGCGCGGCCACUGCGCUCUGACACCCACGCACCGCCCGCGCCCGAGCCCACCACCCAAAGAGCCCGGCCGGGCGCCGCGCAGCCGAGCCCGCGAGCGGAGCUCGCCACCAAGGAUGAAUCAGCACCCACCAAAUUUUUGAGACUGCUCACGGCUUAGAGGCAAGCUCGUCUAAAUUAAGGCCGGCUAAGGUGGCAUUGCAGGGAUUUAAUCCUCCUCUAGCUGCCCGUGUGACCGGAAGGCUGAUUUGCAAGUUUCUUCUUUCCUGGGGUCUGGAUUGUCAGGUCUCCUGGGACCUGCGACUUGACAGCAAAAGUGCAAAAUGAAGAUCAGAGAUAAGCACCAGCAGCGGGGACCUGGGGGCCUCCUGGGGGCUUUUACACACCAGGGCAGAAGAUUUUCUGACCAUCAAAGGAAAUAGCAAACUGGAGCCUUUGUUUCGGGACAGAGCCACCUACCACAGAGCAUCAGCACAGCCGGCCAGAAAGUUCUUGGAGCCUGAUCAAGGCUAGGGUACCUGGAUGCGUGCCUGAUGGUCCAGUUAGAGCGGGGAAGUUCACUGUGAAGGAGGGUGUGAAAUGUCUCGAGUGAGGCGGGCAGCUUUGGGCUUGGCUGGGUAGGCAGUGCUGGGGUUGGUCUCUGCCUUCGGCUGACUGAAGCCCAGAAAGGGGUUUGUGCAUCCAGGAGUCUUUGCACAGCUCGCAAGGACGCAGGGCCCUUACAGCCUUUAAGUCCCAUCUCCCAUCCCCCUUGGGCCCCUUCCGCUCCUCCCCAUCCUGCCCUGCUUGGUGCCUCUGCUGAGAUGGAGAGGUGAGCCUGCCGUGGACGAUGACUGCUGUGUAUGUGAAUGGAGGCGGCCUGGUGAACCCCCACUGUGCCAGGUGGGGUCGGCGGGAGAGCGAGGAGAGUGGCUGUCAGACGGAGUGUGCCAAGGAGGACGAGGAGGGAGAGCCUCGCCAGCUGACACCCUUUGAGAAGCUGACCCAGGACAUGUCCCAGGAUGAGAAGGUGGUGAGGGAGAUCACUCUGGGCAAGCGGAUCGGCUUCUAUCGCAUCCGAGGGGAGAUC
rnacentral:lncRNA from 1 species